rnacentral:rRNA from 1 species
UCACCUCCUGCCGGCGCUGGAUGUCUCACCAGUUGCCGUACAGUGAUGUGCCCAAGGGAUGCAUUUUUCGCCGAUGUGCACUGGAAGCUGUGUUUGUGCCGGAAAACCUCGGCGAAUGAGGGCCAAUUUUGUUGGUGUCCAUUUGGCUGGAAAAAGCCUGGUUGCGAGCACAGUUGAGAUGCACCCGCCUCUACUCUGGUAUGCCUGGCACUUUGCUCGGUUGGCUGAUUCUUGCUUGCAAGGUUUGGUGACUUUGUGGUGUUGGAAUGGGUGUGCGCAGAGUUGGUGCUAUUCUGGUGUUUCUGUCAGUGACCCAUCUGACCCGUCUUGAAACACGGACCAAGGAGUCUAACAUGUGCGCGAGUCAUUGGGUGGUGAAAUCCAUCG